rnacentral:rRNA from 1 species
GUUAUAUGGUCAAGUGAAUAAGCGUACACGGUGGAUGCCUAGGCGGUAAGAGGCGAUGAAGGACGUUGUAAUCUGCGAUAAGCUUCGGGGAGCUGAUAAACAAGCUUUGAUCCGGAGAUUUCCGAAUGGGGAAACCCACCUGUCAUAAGACAGGUAUCUUAUACUGAAUACAUAGGUAUAUGAGGCGAACCCGGGGAACUGAAACAUCUAAGUACCCGGAGGAAAAGAAAUCAAUUGAGAUUCCCUAAGUAGCGGCGAGCGAACGGGGACCAGCCCUUAAGUUCUUGGUGUGAUAGUGGAACAGUCUGGAAAGUCUGGCGAUACAGGGUGAUAGCCCCGUACACUAAAUCUAACUUUGAAUGAAAUCGAGUAGGACGGGACACGUGAUAUCCUGUCUGAAUAUGGGGGGACCAUCCUCCAAGGCUAAAUACUACUUACCGACCGAUAGUGAACUAGUACCGUGAGGGAAAGGCGAAAAGAACCCCGUUGAGGGGAGUGAAAUAGAACCUGAAACCGUGUACGUACAAGCAGUAGGAGCCCUUCGGGGUGACUGCGUACCUUUUGUAUAAUGGGUCAGCGACUUACUUCUCAGUAGCAAGCUUAACCGAAUAGGGGAGGCGUAGGGAAACCGAGUCUUAAUAGGGCGUUUAGUUGCUGGGAGUAGACCCGAAACCGGGCGAUCUAUCCAUGGCCAGGGUGAAGGUGAAGUAACAUUCACUGGAGGCCCGAACCCACUUAUGUUGAAAAAUGAGGGGAUGAGCUGUGGAUCGGAGUGAAAGGCUAAUCAAGCCCGGAGAUAGCUGGUUCUCCUCGAAAGCUAUUUAGGUAGCGCCUCGUGUAUCACCUAUGGGGGUAGAGCACUGUUUCGGCUAGGGGGUCAUCUCGACUUACCAAACCGAUGCAAACUCCGAAUACCAUAGAGUGCAAUCACGGGAGACACACGGCGGGUGCUAACGUCCGUCGUGGAAAGGGAAACAACCCAGACCGCCAGCUAAGGUCCCAAAAUCAUAUCUCAGUGGGAAACGAUGUGGGAAGGCCCAGACAGCCAGGAGGUUGGCUUAGAAGCAGCCAUCCUUUAAAGAAAGCGUAAUAGCUCACUGGUCGAGUCGGCCUGCGCGGAAGAUUUAACGGGGCUUAAGAUAUGUACCGAAGCUGCGGAUGCAUGUUUACAUGCAUGGUAGAGGAGCGUUCUGUAAGCGGUUGAAGGUGUGCUGUAAGGCAUGCUGGACGUAUCAGAAGUGCGAAUGCUGACAUGAGUAACGAUAAAGGGGGUGAGAGGCCCCCUCGCCGAAAACCCAAGGUUUCCUGCUCAACGCUAAUCGGAGCAGGGUUAGUCGGCCCCUAAGGCGAGGCAGAAAUGCGUAGUCGAUGGGAAACAGGUUAAUAUUCCUGUACCACUUAUCAUUGCGAUGGAGGGACGGAGAAGGCUAGACCAGAACACAGACGGUUUUGUGUAUCUAAGGCAGUAGGCAGAUCUUUUAGGUAAAUCCGGAAGGUCAAUGCUGAGAGCUGAUGGCGACGGUUCUACGGAACCGGAGUGGUCAAUGCCAUACUUCCAGGAAAAUCUUCUAAGCUUCAGAUGAUAAGUGACCGUACUCUAAACGGACACACGUGGGUAGGGUGAGAAUCCCAAGGCGCUUGAGAGAACUCGGGUGAAGGAACUAGGCAAAAUGGUACCGUAACUUCGGGAGAAGGUACGCCCUUGCCGGUGAUCGGACUUGCUCCGUAAGCUGGUGAGGGUAGCAUUAAAAUGGUGGCUGCAACUGUUUAUUAAAAACAUAGCACUCUGCAAACACGAAAGUGGACGUAUAGGGUGUGACGCCUGCCCGGUGCCGGAAGGUUAAUUGAUGGGGUUAGCUUCGGCGAAGCUCCUGAUUGAAGCCCCGGUAAACGGCGGCCGUAACUAUAACGGUCCUAAGGUAGCGAAAUUCCUUGUCGGGUAAGUUCCGACCUGCACGAAUGGCGUAAUGAUGGCCACACUGUCUCCACCCGAGACUCAGUGAAAUUGAAAUAGCUGUUAAGAUGCAGUUUACCUGCGGCUAGACGGAAAGACCCCGUGCACCUUUACUACAGCUUUGCACUGGACUUUGAGCCUACUUGUGUAGGAUAGCUGGGAGGCUUUGAAACCGGAUCGCUAGAUUCGGUGGAGCCAACCUUGAAAUACCAGCCUGGUAUGUUUGAAGUUCUAACCUCGACCCGUUAUCCGGGUUAGGGACAGUGUAUGGUGGGUAGUUUGACUGGGGCGGUCUCCUCCCAAAGAGUAACGGAGGAGCGCGAAGGUACCCUCAGCGCGGUCGGACAUCGCGCAAUGAGUGCAAUAGCAUAAGGGUGCUUGACUGAGAGACAGACACGUCGAUCAGGUACGAAAGUAGGCUAUAGUGAUCCGGUGGUUCUGUAUGGAAGGGCCAUCGCUCAACGGAUAAAAGGUACGCCGGGGAUAACAGGCUGAUACCGCCCAAGAGUUCAUAUCGACGGCGGUGUUUGGCACCUCGAUGUCGGCUCAUCACAUCCUGGGGCUGAAGUCGGUCCCAAGGGUAUGGCUGUUCGCCAUUUAAAGUGGUACGCGAGCUGGGUUUAGAACGUCGUGAGACAGUUCGGUCCCUAUCUGCCGUAGGCGUUUGAGACUUGAGGGAAGCUGCUCCUAGUACGAGAGGACCGGAGUGGACGAACCUCUGGUGUUCCGGUUGUCACGCCAGUGGCAUUGCCGGGUAGCUAUGUUCGGAAGGGAUAACCGCUGAAAGCAUCUAAGCGGGAAGCCCCUCCCAAGAUUAGGUCUCACUGGACCUUUAAGGUCCCUGAAGGGUCGUUGAAGACUACAACGUUGAUAGGUCGGGUGUGGAAGCGCAGUAAUGCGUGAAGCUAACCGAUACUAAUUGCCCGUGAGGCUUGACCAUAUAACACCCAA